GCAUGCAAACUUAACCACUACGCCACUGGGCCAGUCCCUGAUUUACUUUUGAUUUUUAUAAAUGUUUUAUAUGUACUUAGUUUAAAAAGUCAUAGAAGACUUAAAUAUCAGGGAUUUAGUUUUGCUGUUAAUAAUGAGACCUGACAAAUAGCUUAAACAGUAGUACAUAUUUAUUUUUCAUGUGAGAACUGUUGAAUGGACAGUGUAGGGAUGAUAUGGUGGCUUUAUCAUUAUUGUACCAUCAUUUGCUCUUUCUUAUCAGUCGUCCUUGUUUUCUCAUCUCAAGUUUGCCUCAUAAUCCAAGAUAGUUGCUAGAGUUCCAGGCAUCACAUCUGAGUUCUAAGUAGUAGCAGGAACAGUGUGUCUCUGGGGUAAGCCAAAAACAUCUUGCCCUAAAUCCUACUCAGUAACUUCUACUUCCAUCUUGUUAGCUAUCCCCAUCUGAAAAUUAUGUUAGGAAAUUUUUUUUGUAUUAUUUUUUUUCCUUAGUAAACACGUGUGUGUGAUUCUGUUAGUAAGGAGGGAAGACAACAAGAAUGGAUAUUGUAGAGGCAACCAGUUUUGGGUCUUUUUCCCCAACAGCUUGUAAUAAAAAACAGUGGUCAUGCUCUGUCCCUUUCCUUCCCCAUGUAUUUCCCAGAGGCAGGCACUUGCAGCUCUGUUAGCUCUUAUGAUGUUUCCCUCCAUGUUUAUCAGUAGUUUUUUCCCCUAACUGUAGGCAUGCUCAGUUAGCCUGGUUGACAGAGGAGAUGGGGACCACCUUCCUGUCUCACCAUACACUUUGAUCUUACCCGUGUUCUCUCUCAGCCCCUCCCUUCCCUCUGACCCCUUGCUCUCCUGCCCCUUUACUUCUGAGUCCCUCCAGAGGGUUAGGAGUUCCCAUCUUUCUGUUUUUGACCAUACUUCUCUCUCCUCUUUUAGAGGUGUGUGGCCUUUCAGAUUCCUGAGGUUUUCUGGGGUUCUUCAGCACAAAUCAGCUUGUUCUCUCCUUUCUAAAUAAUAGCUGUCCAAAUGUUGUCAUCUCUCUGUUUUCAUUUUUUCUUCCUUGUCGGUUUAGGUCUAUUAGAAUAAAAAUAUUUUUACUGUUUUUUUUAGGCAAGUUUUCAAGUGGGAGCAGAAGUAAAUGUGUGUUUAAUCUGCGGUAUUUAACUAGAAGUCUCAAAUUAGUUCCUCACCUCCAUAAAGAAUAAUAGGUACGAAAGAUGAUGAAAAGGAAGGUGUUGAAGAUAAUUCAAGUGAUUUAUUGACUUUUGAAAAAGAGCAGCCUGCUUCCUGAUCUGCUCUGUGGCACAUAGUCAGAACUAGAAGUAAUUUCAUCCCCUGAAGUCAUGUCUUCCUUUUGGCAAAAUUAUUUUUAUCACUAAAUUGCAAAUUGAGAUGUUACCUUUUUUAAGAUGGUUUUCAAAGUUUGACACAUUUGGGACAUUUCCAGUGUUCAUAAAAGGUGAAUUCCAUGGAAAGACAUUUUAUUUAUUAUAGUUAGGAAAAACAAAACAAAAUGAACCCUGGAUUUUGAUAGCUGUAUUUGAGGAGCUAAAUGCUUUGUUGUUGUUGUUGUUUGAUACUUUUUUAGGUUGACUUUCAGAAUUGAAUUGUAGUGAUUGUUCAUAAUGACAUUAUUUGUAAUAGCAAAUCAUUAAAAAUAACCUGAAUGACUAGAGUUAGGGGAGUAGUUACAUAUAAUGGAAUCCUCUGUUGUUUUUAAAGAUUUAUUCACAUGGGAAACUGUUCAUGGUAUAAUAACUACUGAAAAGACACAGGAGACAGUGGUUUCACUUUUGUGAUGAAAAAGACUGAAAAGAAAUGUACCAAAUUGUUAACAGUGGUUUUCUUCUUAGUGAUAUGUUUGUAGCUGAAUUUUAUUUUUUUCUUUACAUUUAUUUAUUUUUUUAUAUUUUCUUGAUUAAACCCACUACCUUUAUAAUCAGAAGAAAAAUAAAGUAUAAGAAAUACAUUUUAUUUUUUUCUCUUCCUUCCUCACAGAUUGCUUUUCUGUGAGAAAAUCCAAGAUUAUUUUGAGUAUGAUGAAAUUUAACUCCUUCCUUCUCAAAAGUCAGUUCGUGGUUUGAGCAGCCACUAUUCAAUGUGGAUCUUCUCUCUGGGAUGACACCCAGUCAGUUCCACCUGGUGAGAGCCAUAGUGGAACACUGGUGGCACACUGAAUAGGAGAGGAGGCCGAGCUGCAUGGUAUUACAUAAGACCUUACAGUCCAGUGCAUUGACACUGUACCAACACUCAGUACCCUCAGCUCUUUAAAGCAGCAGUGAAUGUGAAGAUAGCUGGCUGACUCCAUCUUACCAGGAGAAAAGAGUUGUUGCUGUCAGGGUUGAAGCUUGUUGUCCUGUAAAGCGCUUGGCAGACAGUGGCAAGCAGACAGGGACUGUCCCUGUUUUGUGUAUGGUCAGAACCUUGAUAAGUUCUGUGAAGAAAAGGUGAAUAACACUAUAAAAUGGGGCUGAUAUGAGGUUCCCCUGUUUUUGGAUUCUUGGGCACGUUGAGCUCUGCUGAGAUUCUUUGGUUUAGUUUGAACAUGUUGAAUUUAAGGUGCCUUUGCUCACCCAAGGAGAGAUCUUAAAGAUAGCUGGAGGUGAGCCAGAGCUCAGAGGUGAGGUCUGGUCGUCAUGGCUGUGUCGAUGGUAUGUGAAGCCAUGUGUGAAGGAGCUCACAUAGGAGAUAAUAUAGAGUGGGAAAAGAAGAGCACUUAGAAGUGAAGCUUCAGGAACUCCACAGUUAAAUGACCUGGGAGGUAAGGUUGAGUCUUUAAAUGAAGUCUGAGAAGGAUUAACUAAAGAGGUUGGAGAAAAUCAAGGAUCUGAGUGUCACAGAAGACAAGGGAAGACUGUUUCCGGAUGGAGUGGAUAGUUCCUGGCAUCAAAAGCUGUUGCGAUUCAACCACUGAAUUAACAUGCAGGGCUGUUUUGGCGUAGUGAUGGGAGCAGGAGUCACACUGGAGAACUUUGAGGAGUGGGAGCCAGAGAAAUAGAGACAGUAAGUAUAGAUGACUUAUAAAGGAGGAGGAAAGAUGGGUGGAAGCUGGGGAGGUUGUGGAUUGAAGGCGAGGAUUUUGUUUUAAAUAGGUGAGAAUUUGGCAUGUUAAAAUCUAAUGAGAAUGAUUCAUUUGAAAGGAAGCGGUAAAUCUAUGAAAGAAGGAAAGAAUAAUUUAUAAAUAAGAUUCCGAAAAGCGAAGGAAGGGCAAGAUUCAAAGCACGGAUGGAGGGACUGCUUUCUGUAGGAGCUUUAGGGUGGGAGGGGAGUUCAUCUGUUGAGAGUGCAGGGGAGUAGGUGGAGAUCUGAGGGGCAUGGAGGUCUAAGAUGGAGCUGCUUAGAGGGGCAGAUGGAAGUGGCCUGCAGAAACGUUUGAGUGUGCUGAUUUUGAAGGUGGAGUGACUCCUGGACUGUGCUUUGGUCCAGCAGCGUGACUGUGUGGGUGAAGGUGUGGGGAACAUGAUUAGUUAUAUGCAUUCAGGGUCAAGUGACACACUGUAAUUGAUCCAUCAGUUAGCUGACUUUGAGAAAGAAGGGGACAGGCUGAUUUUCUGACUCCAUUUGUGGUAAAACAUACUACAGAGAAGUGAAAGGAGAACAGAUAGAGAAGGAAGAGAAGUGGUUUAUUAAUAGGUAGGUGCACAGCAUUGUUCUGUGUACCAUGAAAAUGUAUACGUAUAUUUGUGGGUAUGUAUAAUGUCCCAAUAAAAUAUGUACCUAGCUUAUCAAUAUACGUUUCUAUAACUAGAGCCUACUAAAGUUAACCAGUGUCUGUUUUGCUUACCUUAAAGUUGAAAUGUUCUAAAUACUCACUAAUCACUGUUGCCAAUGAAUGAUUUCAUAUGUAUAUGUUAGAUUUUUAAUAUUUGGAAGGUUUACUUAUUUUAUUGGAAUGCUCUGUAUAUAACUAAUUUUGAGUGUUUUUCAUGUAUCAGGUACUGUGAUAAAUCCUUUACCUAUUUUAUCUCAUUUAAUCCACUACCCUACAGGGUAUGUACCAUUAUUCUUCUUUUACAGAUCAGAAAACUAAGACCGAGAGAGAUUAAAUCGCUUGGUUAAGUCAGUGUGGCUACUAUGUGAUAGUUGGAUUGGACUGUCUGGCCAGUCUGACUGAUGGUAGCAUGUGUACUUAGCCGUUCCGAUAUAUACAUAUAUUUUAUUGUAUCUAAGAAUACGCAUUGGGUAUCUAUUAUAGCAUCUGUGCAUAUGUAUUUGAUAUAUACUAUAGUAUACUAAAGAAGUUAUUGACUGAGUAGAAGUAGUGAUUAAAAAAGAUUUAAGGCAGCAGAAGCUAAAGAUGUUCAUAGAUGUAAAAGAAAAAAAUAGAAUUUAAGCUAUCAGAAGUUCCCUGAAGGAAGUGGUCCUCAACCCUUUUAUUUUUUCCUCCAACCCACCUGGAUGGGAUAUACUUCUUUCACAAGCAGUGGCUCACUGUCGUGGUUAUUCUUAAGAUGCAAGAGUUAUGAUGAUUACAAACCAGUAGACAUUAGGUUAUUGUGUUUUGAAGGCAAGAAGGUGUAGAAUAUGUUUUGGAUGUUUAUCUUAAAUGAUUAAAUUUUAAAGAUGUCUCUCCAUAUUUUUUAAAUUUAACCUUGAAUAUCCAGAAAUCUUACUAAUCCAGAGUACAGUAGAUGUGCAUUUUUAGACUUUGUUAUCUAUCCUUUUACCAUGCUUUGAAAAUUCUUGCCAGAGAUUUCUCAGGUUAACAGAUUAGUGGUUACCAGAGGAGAAGCGAGUGGGAGGAGCGAAAGGGAUAAAGGGCCACAGAUGUAUGAUGACAGAUAAAACCUAGACUAUGGGCAGUGAACAUAAUGCGGUCUGUACAGAACCUGAAAUAUAGUAAUGUACAUCUGAAAUUUACAAAGUGUUAUAAGCCAGUGUGACCUCAAUAAAAAAAAAUCAAAUAUCUCUUGGGUUAUAGAACUCAUUAGUAAAGUCUAAAAUUUAUAUUCUGUGUUCAUGAAGGUGCAGUGAAAUGGAUAUCUCAUUUUCAGCUGGGGGGAGUAAAAAUCACCGCAACCUUUCUGGACCGUAAUUCAUCAAACCAUACUAGAAAUGUUAAAAACAAUUUGUACCUCUUUUGACUUAGUAAUUUUCCUUAUAGCAUUAACUUCUGAGGAAAUAUAAAUUUGGACACAAAGGUAUUCAUCAUAGCAUUAAUUAUAAUUAAUGAAAGGAAUGAAUUGAAAAUGGAAAAGCAAGCAGAACAUCUAAAAUAGUUGAAAACUUUUCAACCCUCAUAUGCUGAAGUAUUAUUUAGCCUUAGAAAAUGAUGUUUUCACUGACUAUGCAGUGACCUAGGAAAAUACAAUAUUAUGAUAAAAAAAAUUAGGUGGAAAAGUUUGUAGCAGGAUGACGCAAUUGAAGAGAGACUGGUCCGUUCCCACUGUAUUCACAUGUGGAUUUUAGAGGGGGAAGUGCUGUAAAGAAAAAUCAAAUGAGCUGCUUCACUAGAAACAGGAUUUCUUGACGAUAAUCUGUAGGAUCCAUUCAUGUUCUUCAGGAAGUCUGUUAACUCUCUGAAAUUAUUUGCAAAAAGUUGUAUUUGCAUUUUCUUGGUGAGCAGGUUUAAGGUUUUUUUGUUUUUUAUUCUUAUCAGCUUCUCUUAAGAAUUUCAAAACUUGCUAAACACACAUAACCCAACAACAAUCCAGACACUCCCGAACCUUAUGAACCUUUGCUGUAAUUCAUUGUGACACAAGUAGCACUGCCUGUUCUUACGAAUAAAACUUUAUUGGAGUAUGUCCAUUCAUUUCUACAUUUUCUAUGGCUGCUUUCAUGAUCCAGCAGCAGGGUUGAGUACUUGGGGUGGGGAAUAUAUGGCCCAUAAGCUGCUUAUUGGCUCUUUAAGAAAAAGUAUGUCAGCCCAUGUCCUACAUUCUCAUUUAUUUUUUGCAGCUACCGUGUAAGAUAGGUACUAUUUUUAUCGCCAUUUUAUGAAUGAUGCAGCUGAGACUCAGAGAGGUUAAGCAACUACCCUCAAGUCACACAGCUAGAAAAGGGAAAUAUACUGAGAUGUUAAUAGUGGUUGUACGUGGGCAGUACAACGAUGGAUGAUUUUUUUAAUAUACUACUCAAAUUUACUACAGUGGGUAUACAUAACUUAUAAUCAAGAGGGGAGGAAGUUUUUUAAAAAUUAGGUAGAACUGAGUUGUGAGAAUCUUGAAACUCAUUCAUCCUUUCUUAUUGAUUUCCUACCCGUCAUCCUGUGUUGAUAAAGUUAAGAGUGGUAUGCAAUUUUUAGUUGCCGCCUUGGCACUUAAUUCUUAUCAUGCAGCCCCUUCUUAACUCUUGAUUUUAUGAAAAAAAUAAGAAAUUAUUCUACUUAUAGUUUCCUAAAAACUUUAUAUGUUAACUGAAGCCAUUUUGUCCUUUAACUCUUAAGAUUCUUUGUCCUCUGUUUUAUGUUUUGAAAUUAACUUCAGCAACUAUUGAGUACUCAUAAUUUUAUAGGUGCUCAUAAAAUGCUGCAUAUGUGUCUGAUAGUAUAUAACUUGCUUUUUUUUAAUCUCAGUCAAUUGAAUUAUUUCAGGUGUAGAUCUAGACACAUAAAGUAUCUAGAACGUACUCCUGAAAGAAAGACUUGUACUAUGUGAAAAACUUCAUCCUAGUGAUUAUAGGGCAUUUAAGGAGGAAAAAGUCGCAAGUCCUGCCCUCAGGGAGCCGAUUCGAGUAGGGGAGAAAAGGCGUGUCUGACUACUGAGCCGGCUCUUAGGACCUUGAUCCAGACCACAGUCAUCUUUCUCCUGGAUUACUUUAUCUCCCUGCUUCCAGUUUUUCUCAUUUUAUUCUCCACACUCCCGAAGUGAUCCUUUUAAAGACAUGAGUGAGAUCUCUUCUAAAUGUUCCAUGCUUUCUCCAUCUCAGAGUCAAAGCCAGAAUCCUUACAGUGGACUGCAGGCUUCCUGAGCCUGCCCUGUCCAGCUCUUUGACUUGGCUCCUUUACUCUUUGCCUCCACUACUUACCUGCACCUAUCCCAGCAUUUCUGCCCUUCCUGCACCUUGAAUAAGUACUCUCCUGCCCCUUGGCCUUUGCACUGGGCUUUUGUUUUUGUCUGCCAGAAACAGUUUUCAUUUGGAUAUCUGUGUGGUUCGCUCCAGGACUCUGCUCAAAUAUCCUUUUAUCAGAGAGACAGGCCUUCCCUGAGCAUCUCAGAUAAAGUGUAAAGUAGCAUCCCGCCUCCAGUGUUCCCUUUUCCCCUUACCUUGUGUUUUAUUGUUUUCCAGGGUACUUAACACCAUUUAAUUUAUAUUUGUUUACUUGUUUUCCUCCCACUAAAAAUAAAAGCAAUAGGGUACUUGGUACAUAGUAAGCACUCAUUAAGGUCUGAAUAAAUGAACGGGUAAAUACAAAUAAACUCUAAAACAGGGAAAUGGUGAUCGGUGCCACUAAUGUGAUGUAUUGUAAGUCCUCUGCAAGUUCACCUGAAGAGACUACUCCUAACAGAAUUUGGGAAGGUUUUAAUAGAUGAGAUGUUUGAAUUGAGUAUUAAAAAAUUGUUAGUAUUAAAAUAUAGGCAUGAAAAAGGAAGUGAUAUGGGUAGGAGGAUAUUAGUGGAGCAGAUAAUUUGUGAAAAGGUAGAUGGCAAGGUGUUUUUAUGAAUGGGAGUAGUUAAUUACUCGAGCUGUGCUUCUUAAAAGGGAUUCCCCCGAGCUCACCUGAACGCUAUUAGCAAUGCAAAUUUUUGGCCCCACACUAGACCUACAGAAUCUGAAACUGGGGCUGGGGCCUAGCAAUGUGUAUUUUUCACAAGCCUUCCAGGUGAUUCUCCUACUAAAGUUUGAGAACCACUGAACUAGAACAUAUACUCAGAAAAGUAUUGGUAGGUAUUACGAUUGGAAAAAUGGAUUGGUCCAGAGCCUGACUUAGGAAUUUGAAUUUCGUAGGAGGAUUUGUAUGUUUAAGGGCAAAGAAGUGCUGUUAUUAAAUAAUCUUAAAAUAAUUGCUUUAAGAUAGAUUAGAGGAGGUAAAGAAUGAAAGCCUAGACAUAAAAAGGAAACUAUUGGAGUAUUUCAGAAAAGGAGUAAUUGAGGGCCUGGCUGGGUAGUGGCAAUGAAAAUGUAGGGACAGGAACAGUUUAAAGAAAUAUGGAAAUAAAUUAUGUAGUAUCUGGUUGAAUGUAGAGACAAGGCCCAAAGAAUUUUAUGAAAUUGCGUUGGGGUGUAGUCCAGAGAUCUGGGAAUAUGGUGGUAAUAUUAACAGUAAAAGGUAGAAGGAACAGUUAAGGGAUCUAAAUUAACAGUAGAAUUUUGGCUAUUAAGUAUGAAGAGUUAGUGGAUUCUAAAAAAAAGAACAGAAAUUAUUAAUCAUUAGCCACAGUGGACAUUUUUAUUAAUCUUGAGGAUACUCAUCCUCAUUUAAGAACAAUGCAUUUUCAAGUAACUGAUGAUAAAGUUUGUUGAAAUAGAGAACCCAUAAUUUCUUUUCCCUUUUUAGCAAUUCUUCAGUACUUAAAAUAUAAGACUUCUUUUUAAGGGAGGAUGCUUCUGUGUUUGAGAGUUAAUUUACCUAUGAUAGUUUUAAAUUUAAAAUUUCCUUUCAGGUUUUAAUUUGGGGACAGGGGACCAAAUGUCAACAAAAGUAAUAAUGUGUCCAAUUUGAUCAAAUGAGUUGUCUCUCAUUAUCAAGUUCACAAAGAGAAAUUAGUCUAGAGUUCACAGAGGUUAAGAUCCCGAAUUCCUCCCUUCCCAGAAAAUUGGUUAAUCAGAGCCAGUGGGUCUCAGUGUGCCUCUGUCGUUAGAGCUGGGGAAUUUUCAGGAUUUGUAGCUUGGGUUGUCUUCCUCCAACUGAGAGUGGCUUCCUUCUCACCCCUAAAUGAGUUACUUAACCCCAGUCUCUUUUGGGUCUUUUUCAAGAAUCCAGAAGAGCAGUAGAGCAAAUGUUUGUUACUCCACCAGCCCAACUCCCGUUAAAUUUAGAAACACCAGCAAUUCCUUGAGUGUAGUAUAUGGUACAGUUGACUCACAUUACUUUUGCCAGUAGGAUUUAGUGAUAUCAGAGGGAAGAUGGGUCUGCAGAACGCAGAGUUGCAGUUAGUUUUGGUUUCAACGUCACCAGGGUAUCAGUCAGUUGUGCCCAUUGCCAGAGUCUAUAACUUGUACUUAAAUUUUAUUGGGGUUUCGUCAGUUGGUUAAUUGUGCCACUGUAUGUUUAACAUAUUAUUUUGAGGGGUGGGAGCACUUAACCCGAACACUCUGCAUAAGACUCCAGCCUUGCAGUCUCCACAGCCCCUGAGUUCAGCCCUUGUCUCUGGAUUUCUCCGUCUUCAACCUUGUGCCAAAACAUUUUUAGUCCUGUGCUACCUUGGCUGUUGCCGCUGCCCCUGGAAUUCUUGGUCCCACUGAAUUAAAAUCAUAGGAGCAUUCCUGUUGGCCCCAUGUUUGUGUUAUUCUGCUAAUAACUGUAAACAGGUACCUACAAUGACCUGCUUUUGAUGAUUCUGGCAUGUGUGCUCAGAGGAGCCCAGUGAAGACAGUAUUUCUUCUGACACUUGCUCCUCUGGACCUUUUCUUUGCUUUUAACUAUUCUAGCCGUGCCUAAUUUGCUUGACUUCAUUGGCAGUGCAAACGUUCAUUUUUGUCACUUUCAGCAGUG